rnacentral:tRNA from 1 species
GCAGGAUUGGCGCAACAGGAAGACGCAGCAGCUUCAAAAACUGUCCGUUAAGGGUUCGACUCCCUUAUCCUGCA